GACAGAGGUGCCGAGCGUUAGGCGGAAUCACUGGGCUUAAAGCGUGUAUAGGCGGGUCGUUAAGUGCCUUGUGAAAUCCCACGGCUCAACCGUGGAACUGCUGGGCAUACUGGCGAUCUUGAGCCAGCUAGGGGCAACCGGAACAAACGGUGGAGCGGUGAAAUGCGUAGAUAUCAGGAAGAACAUCGGUGGCGAAGGCGCUCUGCUGGACCAUAACUGACACUCAGGGACGAAAGCUAGGGGAGCGAAUGGG
rnacentral:rRNA from 1 species